rnacentral:lncRNA from 1 species
GUGGGAAGUGGCUGCUCGCCGUGGCUUCUACGAUCCUUCUUUGAUCCCAAAGAACAGAAGCUUCCCCGGACGAAAAGGGGUAGAAAGAUUUGGCCAGCAGGAGAAGGCGAGAGUCAAGACUCAGCAGCACGUGGGGGCUCUUCCCUCCGUUGGGAGGGAAGUGGGUUUGUGAGAGGAGGGCUGCUGAAUGAUGAAGGUCACUGAUGGAAAGCACUGGAAACAUUUUAUGAGGAUAGACUCCUGCGUCUCUGGCCGUUGGAAAAUGACCAAGAGAGGGUGCCAAAAGAGGGGCUUAGUUAAUCCCUGGGUCGGGAAGAUCCCCUGGAAGAGGAAAUGGCAACGCACCCCAGUGUUCUUGCCCAGAAAAUCCCAUGGACCGAGGAGUCUGGCGGGCUACAGUCCAUGGGGUCACAAAGGGUGCGACACGACUGGCGCCGGUGGGACACAGCAGUCAGCCUGGCAGGUCUUCCCUCGUCCGCAGCCUCGGUCCGCAGCGAGAAUCAGCCAAGCCUUCAUGGCUUCUCCGCUGCUCCCCCAGCCAUUGCCUGAGCAGCCCAGUUGGAACAGGAGAUAUAUCCAACACUCCCUGGAAGGCAGGGAGGGGAGCUGUGACUCAUCGAACAGCCGGGUCUCUGCGCCUGACUCUUACGGGACUGUAGGGACCUGCAGCCUCCAGGCUUUGGAACAAGGCUCUGCGGGGAGGAAGUUGUCUAGUUGCUCAGUCGUUUCUGACUCUUUGUGGCUCCAUGGACUGCAGCACGCCAGGCUUCCCUGUCCUUCACCAUCUCCUGGAGUUUGCUCAAACUCAUGUGCAUUGAGUCAGUGA